rnacentral:rRNA from 1 species
GACGAACCGAGCGAACGUUAUUCGGAAUCACUGGGCUUAAAGGGCGCGUAGGCGGGUGGUCAAGUCCGGGGUGAAAGCCUCCAGCUUAACUGGAGAAGUGCCUCGGAUACUGAUCGUCUCGAGGGAGAUAGGGGCGUGCGGAACUUCCGGUGGAGCGGUGAAAUGCGUAGAUAUCGGAAGGACACCGGUGGCGAAAGCGGCGCGCUGGAUCUCUUCUGACGCUGAGGCGCGAAAGCCAGGGAGCGACGGG